CUGCACUGCCUUCCCAUCUCCUGCUUUCUAUAAGGCAGGGUUCUGCCCACCAGUUGGAGGUCUUUGGGUCUUGUCUGAGGUCUGGGGAACUCCUAUGCACUUUGCAAACCCAAUUUUCCAGGCUUUGGUCAGCUGUGACCUUGGGGGAAGUGGCAACUGGGUAUGAGAGGCAAGUUCCACACUGGGCCCUGGGAUGAGGGGCACGUGGGAGCUUGGCAAAGUUGGAGGCAUGAUGGAAGGUGCUGUCAAUUGCCGUGUCAGAUGCCGUGUAGUCUCACACCGCCGGAGCGCGAGCAGCUAGCAGCAUGAGAACAGUCUGUUGGAGGAAACCCCAGGCCAAACAAACCGGUUUGCCUCAUGCAUUGGUGCAGCAAAUGUGAAGGUAUUAAAAUCAAUAGAGGCUGCUGAUUGCUCUUCCUGAGAGGCUGGAGUGAGCAAUGUAUUGUUUGUCCCAAAGAGACGUGCUUCCCACUGGUGCGAGGGAGCUGGGGAUGAGCUGAGAGAACCCUCUGUAUGGUUCUA